CUUCAGGGCAGGGUGAAAUUCCCGACCGGCGGUAAAGUCCGCGAGCGCUUCGGCGCAUGAUUCGGUGAGAUUCCGAGACCGACAGUAGAGUCUGGAUGGAAGAAG
rnacentral:ncRNA from 1 species